GUUCAGUGAUGUUAAAAUUGACAAGCAUAUAUCUGAUGUCUAGUGAUGUCAGCUUCCUGUCUGAGAAC